UGGACCAUAAGUUAAAUAUAAAACUAUCAAACUUCAAAUUUGAAACUACUCGUAUUGGGUUGGUCUAA
rnacentral:tRNA from 1 species